UCAUUCACCCUAUCGAUUAUUUGCUAUCAAUCCCAAACAGGGCCAUAUUAUACUUUAUUCAGGCAUAGCGACACUAGAAUCCAUUCAUGAUUUCGAAAUCAUUUAUGAACGGCGAGAGUUUAAACAUGUUAUGUGGUUUUUGAUGCGGAGAUGCGGCAUCCAAGAUGUUCUUGGUGCGCGGGUAAAGCACUUCUAAUCGCUGGCUUAGAGCACUCGUAAAAGAACACAUUUUCUUCGAUGAUAUGGCGCCGGCACUAAAAGAAAAAUACAGGAUUUGGCGCCACCGUAAACAGGGUAAAUAGAGGGCCCGAAGCAACCAAGUUAUGACAAAAGGGAUACGCAACGAAACAAGAGCAGCUCCUCUACUUAUGAUUAUAGAAGUGCAGAACUCGCUUGAAACUUAUCGACGAUUCCUGAUUCUUUUUCAUGUGCUUUGGUAGAACGUUCAACGAGCAAUAAAGACAACCUAACAAACCGUGUGCAGCGCUAAGACGGACCGACAAGCAAGUAAACCAUGACGUAGAUUAGAGAGCUCUGGUAUGACCUACGCUGGCGAAACAAGGCUUAUAACGAUAAAAGACUAAUCAAGGCGACUCGCAACAACUACAAGACAAGCACGAUCUGAAACUGUGUUUAAGUACUGUCCCUUGCUCCUACCUAGAGACAGUCCAACAUUUCUGAUAAUGAUUGUAAAUGCCAAAGCACCAAUGAAUAAAGAUGUGUGAUUCUUUCUUUGCUGUACGCGUAUUUGUGCAACACACACAGUAACAGCAUCUUAAGCGUUUAGCGAUAACUUUGGGCAAGAGAGAUCUAGCGUAUAAUGACGGUUAAAGAGCGUAAAUCAAGGAUAUUAUUCAAUCUGUUAUUUUGCGUGUCAAAAUGAGACAAAAUGUAAGCGAUCUUCAGAAGAUUCUAUGCUAUGCGCGUCAUUUCCUCGCGCAUUAGAAGGUUCUAGAACAAGCCCUGAUCACUUCUCAAACUCUCUUUAACGAGCGCCAGCCACUAUUGUUUAUUGAAGUGGGGGGCGAACAUUGCAACAUUUCCGUUCCUGAGAAUUGUUUACGAGUUGAAGGGGGAAAAAACCAUAGAGAAUACCACGCAGCAUUAGAAGCUUUUGAAUUCAGUAUGAUAUUUUUGCAACAGCAACAGGACGAUAGCCGUGGUCAUAAAAAAAGUGGAAAGAAUCAUCUGUAGGAGGGGAUCUGGGUAUCGCGCACAAAGCUCUUGUACCUUUUACAAGCUUUAUUCUAACUUUGAAAUCCAUGAACCACUUGGCGCCAACACCACAGAUUGUACUAUUUUGUAAGGACUGAUAUCCCAUAGGGGGCGACACUGCGACACAAGAUAACCAAACAAGCAAAAAACUGGAAUGGAUAAACCAACAAGCAAGAAACUGUGUAUAGAAAAGACUUCUGCUUUGACGAAAAAGUGCUGAUAUUGAUGAGACUAAUCAGAGCAACACACGACAAUUUCGUAAUCCUAUGCUGAAAAUGAACCCAAAUGUACGCAAAUCUAUAUUUAGCUAAUGAUAAAGCACUGUGUAAUAAAGACCUUUGUGUUGUAUUUGGUUGAACGUGUGAUUUACCGCGCGAUCUCUGGCAUUCCAGAACCUUCUCUUCUUUAGCCUUUGCUUCAAAACAAAAUGCUUUGCGCUCUUCUCUAGGUACAAUAGCGUACAGAUAUAAUAUCUCAAAUCAAAGUUUUCUCGCUAUAAGUUUGGCGCGGGAUGUUUCUCUGGCAAAAUCAACAGACCAUUAUAAUAUUUUUUAAAUCGUUCCGCUAGGGUAUACUCUAAGCGCACAAGCUAGAUAAUUUACCUGUAAGUAAAAGUUUAUGUCUAUUCUAUAACUCUACUGGGCCUCAUAUAUUAGUGAUUUAGAGCAUAGAGUAUGGCGCCGGAUGGUUUACUCCAUCACGGUGCGUCAUGCAUCAUUUGAAGCGCGUUUUUGGCAGUUUGUAAGAUAGUCCAAUCAUAGAGAGUGAAAUUAAUACCACAACAGCAGGCUCUGAAAAUAGGAAAUGCUUAGAGGAGCACAUUCCUUUUCUAAUAGACAACCUGCCAAAUCAUGUUGACCGGGGCUUUUCUUUUCUGGGAAACGCAUCAGAGGUGCCGCUAUAAAUUCGCGCGACUACAUCAGACAAAUCAUUGGUGAGCCGUAAGAGCAAAAAUAAUGAACUACAUAACAGCUAGCGACCCACAACCACAACCAGACCCCAAACCACCGCCAGAUGACCAUGGAAAGAGCAGUGGCGGUGGUGGUUGUAUCAUCUUAUGAAGUUUUACACGCGGGGUUCUUUUUCAAGUGCUUUGGUAGAACAUUAAACGAGCAAUAAAGACAACCUAACAAACCGUGUGCAGCGCUAAGACGGACCGACAAGCAAGUAAACCAUGAUGUCGAUUAGAGAGCUCUGGUAUGACCUACGCUGGCGAAACAAGGCUUAUAACGAUAAAAGACUAAUCAAGGCGACUCGCAACAACUACAAGACAAGCACGGUCGAGAUGGACCCAUACUUUAAAACUGUGUUUAAUACGGACCAUUGCUACUACCUAGACAGUCGAACAUUACUGAUAAUGAUUGUAAAUGCCAUAGCACCACUGAAUAAAGAUGUGUAAUUCUUGCUUUGCUGUAAGUGUAGUUGUGCAACACAUACAUAAACAGCAUCUUAACUUCGUGUUUACUCCGAAUGUUUUCUCUGUCUGGCACCUUUUUCUCAAUGCAACGCACUUACGAUUGUGCGCUUUGAUCAAUGGCAAACAGGCUAAGAGGGUAUUCCCCGAAACUUUAACAAAAAGUAAAGACUCUUAAAAGCGAGAUCAGAACCCACUUGCGCGAAGUGCAGCCAUAACGCAUCCACAAACAUGUAUCAAAAUGCCGAGUUUGCAGCUCCGGGAGGUGGUAGGGGCUGUGGAGUCUGUAUAUGCAUACUCCUCGCCAUCAUCGUAGGAACGACAUGCGCUAUUUAUUUUGGUAUACGGCACACAAAAGACUCGCAACCAUCUGAAAAUGUCCCUACAAAUUUUACGAACUCAACGGCGAACUUCACGAUGGAUUUCACGAAGAAUUCAAUGACGAAUUUCACGAAGAACUUCACAACGAAUCGCACUAGCUAAGGACAAGGGGUCUUAAAGAGUCUUCAACAAUCGCAGUAUAUACAGUAGAAGCAGAGCUCAAUAAUAAUAAUAAUAAUAACGUGUAACUAAUUUCAAGAACCUAAUAAAGCAAUCUAACUCGCCA